rnacentral:rRNA from 1 species
CCUACGGGGGGCUGCAGUGGGGAAUCUUGCGCAAUGGGCGGAAGCCUGACGCAGCGACGCCGCGUGCGGGAAGAAGGCCUUCGGGUUGUAAACCGCUUUCAGGAGGGACGAAGCUACUCGGGUGAAUAGCCCAGAGGGUGACGGUACCUCCAGAAGAAGCCCCGGCUAACUACGUGCCAGCAGCCGCGGUAAUACGUAGGGGGCCAGCGUUGUCCGGAUUCAUUGGGCGUAGACCGCGUAUGGGCGGCCAGAAACCUGGCGGCUCAACCUCCAGCAGUCAUCGGAAAGCAUCUGGCUAGAGUCCGGAAGAGGAGAGUGGAAUUCCUGGUGUAGCGGUGAAAUGCGCAGAUAUCAGGAAGAACACCCAUGGCGAAGGCAGCUCUCUGGGACGGUACUGACGCUGAGACGCGAAAGCGUGGGGAGCGAACAGGAUUAGAUACCCUUGUAGUC